AAUUACUCUAGAUAAAAAAAAUGUCAGGUUCUUGGAUAACUCCAACACUAAGAUAUGGAGGUGUCAAAAGUAUCCUGAGUUGCUUCCAGAAAAGGAUGGUACGGCCGUGCUUGCUCGAUUUGGCGGGAGCACUGCCAUGCCCUCAGACUGUCCAUUACUCUGCCUGCAAGUCCACAAAUAACACAAAGAAAUAUACGCCUAAAGGCAAGUAUUAUGCACUUUGAUCCAAAAUAAUGUAUAUAUAUGGCAGUAAUGGUAAAAGGGCUUUCGAUAUAAAAACGCAUCCUCUUCAGUUACACAGCUU
rnacentral:lncRNA from 1 species